rnacentral:lncRNA from 1 species
GAUCACUUUAAUGAUGUGUACAGUGACUCCAUUAGUCUUGGAAAGGUUAGAGACUGGGGGGAAUCUAUUUAGAAGAAAGGCAGAGACUGUGUGAUUUUAGAGAUCUGAAAGCCAGGUGUAGGGUUGGUGGGAGGAGGCAUCAUGUCAGUUAAGUUACUGAAGCAGCUGAAAAGAAAUCCUGUUUAGUACAAUCUAGACCUGUUCAACUCGUCUUAUGUUUUUAUCUUGUGACUCCCUGACAUGGAGAAGCUCAGAGCUGCCACAUCCACUGUUGGGUUCUAUAACAUCUCUAGGCCAGAUCUCCUGCCUUAUACAUGUGGCUGUAGGGAGUAAAACUCUAUGA